GGACUUGAACAGAAACAACAUCACCAGAAUCACUAAAGUGGACUUCUCCGGCAUCAAGAACCUCAGGAUUCUUCAUCUGGAGGACAACCAAAUCAGUGUUAUUGAGAGGGGAGCCUUUCAAGACCUAAGACUGCUGGAGAGACUUCGUCUGAACAGAAACAAACUUCAGUUUCUCCCAGAACUUCUCUUCCAGUCCAACCCCAAACUAGGACGACUGUGAGUACACCUUUCUUGUUUUUCCAUCUCUGCCUCUAGCAAUCCCACUUUCGUCAACUCUCCCAUCUCUGCUUGACUUUCCCUCCGUCACUCUUUCUCUGGCCUCUUCUGUCUCUGAUGUGUUACGUGAUCCAUUUAAAAACAAGGCCACUGCCAUGUCAGAACUUUUAUCCGGGUUGAGGGUUCAAGUCCUGCGCCAGGUGACACAGUGCCGCUCUGUGCUCCUGGAGAGGUGAAAAAGAGUGUGUGUCAGAUGUGUGUGUGCGCACGAUUUUAAGAGGUGAAAGUGUGCUCGGAGUGAAUGUUUUGCUUGGAUCUGUGAGGAAUUUUUAUUCGGGAAAAUGGAGUUUUCCCAGAGUAUUCAAAGUGUAAGAGCAGGUCAUACUGAUGAAGAGAAGCCUCCCACUUGCCCUCCUUCUCUCUCUCUCUUUCAUCUUACAUUCCCAGACAUACUCUCUCUCUCUCUCUCUCUCUCUCUCUUUGUAUGUUUCAGUCCCAUCGGUGCACCCACCCUGUCUC